rnacentral:rRNA from 1 species
CACGUAGGGCGCAAGCGUUGUCCGGAAUUAUUGGGCGUAAAGAGCUCGUAGGCGGCUUGUUACGUCUGCUGUGAAAACCCAGGGCUUAACCCUGGGCUUGCAGUGGAUACGGGCAGACUAGAGGCAGGUAGGGGAGAAUGGAAUUCCCGGUGUAGCGGUGAAAUGCGCAGAUAUCGGGAGGAACACCGGUGGCGAAGGCGGUUCUCUGGGCCGGACCUGACGCUGAGGAGCGAAAGCGUGGGGAGCGAACAGG